rnacentral:rRNA from 1 species
AUUGAACGCUGGCGGCAUGCCUUACACAUGCAAGUCGAACGGCAGCACGGGAGCAAUCCUGGUGGCGAGUGGCGAACGGGUGAGUAAUAUAUCGGAACGUGCCCAGUCGUGGGGGUAACGUAGCGAAAGCUACGCUAAUACCGCAUACGAUCUACGGAUGAAAGCGGGGGAUCGCAAGACCUCGCGCGAUUGGAGCGGCCGAUAUCAGAUUAGGUAGUUGGUGAGGUAAAGGCUCACCAAGCCGACGAUCUGUAGCUGGUCUGAGAGGACGACCAGCCACACUGGGACUGAGACACGGCCCAGACUCCUACGGGAGGCAGCAGUGGGGAAUUUUGGACAAUGGGCGCAAGCCUGAUCCAGCAAAUGCCGCGUGCAGGAUGAAGGCCUUCGGUGUAACGCUUUGUACGGAACGAACGGUACGAGCGUCUAAUAC